rnacentral:rRNA from 1 species
UACAGAGGUCCCAAGCGUUGUUCGGAUUCACUGGGCGUAAAGGGUGCGUAGGUGGCAGGGUAAGUUUGAUGUGAAAUCUCCGAGCUCAACUCGGAAACUGCAUUGAAUACUAUCCUGCUUGAGGAUUGGAGGGGAGACUGGAAUUCUCGGUGUAGCAGUGAAAUGCGUAGAUAUCGAGAGGAACACCAGUGGCGAAGGCGAGUCUCUGGACAACUCCUGACACUGAGGCACGAAAGCUAGGGGAGCAAACAGG